CACUCUGUUUGUCAGCAUGUUUAUUAGAAAUUGGAAUGCUACAGAGGUUACCAUGGGCCUUGCCAAGAAUGACACAAACAUACACGAAACAGUCCAUAUUUAA
rnacentral:snRNA from 14 species